rnacentral:rRNA from 1 species
UACGUAGGGUCCGAGCGUUGUCCGGAAUUAUUGGGCGUAAAGAGCUCGUAGGCGGUUUGUCGCGUCUGCUGUGAAAUCCCGAGGCUCAACCGCGGGCCUGCAUUCGAUACGGGCAGGCUAGAGUUCGGUAGGGAAGACUGGAAUUCCUGGUGUAGCGGUGAAAUGCGCAGAUAUCAGGAGGAACACCGAUGGCGAAGGCAGGUCUCUGGACCACAACUGACGCUGAGGCGCGAAAGCUAGGGGAGCAAACAGG